rnacentral:pre_miRNA from 1 species
UCGGGGUAAAAUAGUGAGUAGCCGACUUGGGGAAGUGAUCAACUCUUAGGAUAAGUUUAAAUCUGUUUUUUUUUACUCCAUAAACUUUUUACUGUGGGUAAAAAUAUUCUUGUUGGGGUAUAAAAAAAUAAAAUAAAAAAAAAGAUUUAAAUUUAGCCCAAGGAUUGGUGAUGUAUUUUCCCCAAGAAGGCUCACUAUUUUACCCUAA